ensembl:lncRNA
AUUCAGUCAAAAGAAAGGGGUCGAUCUAACUAAAACAAUAUGAACAGAACACAGUAUACCACAAACACUUCAAUAUAUUCAGUACUACACCUUGUUCAGGAUAAUGUGCAUGCAUUGAGUUACACAACAGACCUGGAGUGGGGCUCUGCUUGCACAGCAUGUACACAAUAAUCACCAAUUUGAAGUGUAUAAACACGUUUGGUUCGGGAUAAGUAGGUGACGGACUGAGGUUGUGGCGGGAUCACAGUUCAGUCUGGUUGACUAAAACCACGGUUAUGGUGAGGCACUACACUCCAAUUUGUGGUUUUUGUCGUUUUUUUGUGUCCCGUGUGUCCCCUCGAAAGGACAACCUCUUUAACACAGGAGCAGAUAUAUUUUGGAGCCCUUAAUAUCCAUUCGAGGAUGGAGAAUCAUUCACAAUGAUCACCAGCCGACUCGUCUCAUGCUACAAUUGUGCAGGCGAACGGUCGGAUUUAGGAGUGGUUUGUGUAUCUGCCCUAGAUGAGAUAGCUAUUUGGUGCUCCCGAGUUACCAUUAAGCCGUCCAAGCAGAGCCAGUACCAGAAGUGGAAGCGCUUGUUUUAUAUUCUUUGAGUCAAUAUUCAGAAUUAUACUGAAAUCACAUACGUAUAAAUACAGGGCUGGGUGAGCGGAUAUUUGUGACCCGGGGGUUUACAAAUCUCCAGGGAUUCUCAAUAGGAAGGAAAUAAAAUUAACAGGUAGGAUAUAAUUGCAGUGAAAAACUGCAGAGUGAUGGCGAAAUCUGAUCUAUGUAUCCCGCUCUGUCUUUCUCACAGAUGUACGCCAACUGUCUGCAGUACUCACUUAUACCACAGGAGGACGCUAUGAAUCAGUGCUUAAACUGGGCAAGUUUGUUUCUAUCAAACACUGAUUAGGUCCUCAAACCUUUAAUCACAAAAAGUGUUUCUCUGUCGCAACAACCACAGUCGAGAUGAACACACGAUAACUUUACGGUCCUUUAGACCUGGUUCUAGACAUUCUGAUGAGCAGAACGCCAACUUGUCAGUUGUUAAUGUGUUGUAAUGAAAAGCGAUUAUCCAAAUAAAAACAAUAUUGAACAUCAUUUUACAAAACGCUAAGACUUUGUCCACAGUGAUAAAACAACAUCGUUGGCUACAGUGUCUUUGACUGCAGCGUUAUAUACAAAGCAAAAUGAUCUCUAUUGCCCAUCCAUUCAACUAAUAAGUUAUCAUAUUACGUUAACCAACAGUAAUUUAUCAAGAUUGAAAUAUGACAAGUAAUAAUAUUGGGAACUCAAACUUCUUUUCCAAAAUACUUUUUUUCUAUGUUUAACUAGCAACGUAACCAUGAGGAAAUCAUUCUCAGGGUCUCUACCAAAGGGAGCCCUAGUGUUGCUACAGGACGUGCCCCUUCCCAACAACCUGCCUUGUUCAUUGGCGGACAGUGCAGUGCAAUACUCAUCAAGGAUACAGCAACAGUUACCAUAGUGAUAGGAGCCUAAGUCAUCCAAAAGCAGUUUGGAGCCGACCCUUUGAGAGAAGGAACAUUUUCUCCACUAGAAGCUUUUUAGUAAGUCACAAAAAUACUACAGUCAUACUUAACAACGCAUCAGAGCUUGUACACUAUUUACAGUGAUCCACACUGGGAUCAGGUGCCUGACAAAGAUGAUGUCACUGCUUAUAAUCACCCCCUUGCUCUUUUUCAAUGGUCUUUCCUCAAUUCCUUAGCUUUGUUUGAAUACCCAUACUAACAUACUGUAUACUACAUACUUAAUAUACUAGCAAAACACUACAUACUAUAAGUUAAUUUUAGUAUACUGUAAACGAACGGUAUCCCUUCAGUUGAGCCUACUAGCGCUUUGCCUGUUUACCAGAAGUUGAUUCUGUUGCUAUGCAACCUCUCGCUAGCUUGUUAGCAUUACAAGCUAGACAUUUUACAACUUCGGGUUUGUUAUCAAAUUCAAUCUGGAGUGCCAGAGUGUGUUCUGGGGGUUUGUAAAUUCAGAGUGUUCAGAGCGCUAACUGGAUGCUCUGGUUGAUCCAAGCAUUCUGAAGUCACAACUGCAGUCAAGCACCAAAGCUAGCUGGCUAAGUACUUCCAGACACAAAUGAGAGAACACCUCACUCUGACCAUUUUACUUGCCCUAGCAGAGCUGGUUAGGCUGUUUUCAUGUUAUCCAGAGCGUUGGUAACUGUAUCUGUGCUGCUGGCAACAAUUUAAUUACACUUUUUUGACGAUGUUUACUGACACCGGCCAUAUUGAACUGGUGUCAAGCAUGAGUAAAUUCAUCAGUUAUUCUGUGCUGUGGCACACUCUGAAAUCGGAGUAGAUAGCCAGAGCGAAUUUACGAAAACACACCCGAAUGUCCAUUGAGAACGCACAACAACUAUACCACUUAGCUAAACUAACAAUGAUGGGAAUAAACAAGUCAAUAAAUGUUGGGGAGUUAGUUAGAUAGAAUAU